GCAUCGUUUGAAACCAAGGUUUGCACUAUCAGCCAUAUGGCAUGUCAAGAUAUCGGCCGACCGCCCGGGGUUAAACACUGAUAUCUAAUCAACGCACCGGGAGCCCAACAAACCCGAUGCAGACAGAAUGUCUCUAUGAAUUCACAGCCUUUUGGUCUCUAAAACAAACAUACAGGGGUUGUUGCAUACAUUUCUCCCCGAAACUCAUUCCGUACUUUUCGAUAGUUAGGGACAGAACUAUUUUUAACACGGUUAGCCCUGCUUUAGCGCAAACCCAAAGGCCUGAAUAUUUAGCUGCCCGGACAGAUUAAAAAAUAUAUUCUGAAUAAGUGAAUCUCUCAUAAUGGAUAUUUCUGGAGAAUCCCAAACAUUUACGCAGCCUUUACGCGAUUUACCGGAUCUGGAGCAACAUGAGGAGGCUCAAAAGUCAGACAGUCAGUCAGUCGCCAUCAGCCUUUUUUCGUUCCGACAUACAGCCAAGAAUGAUAAAGGAUUCGUUAUGGACAUCUGACACUGGGGACUUAGAUGCAAUUCUACCGUUCUGUACGACCGAUUUUUCAAACUCACCGAGAAUACAGGGAACGUCGACUCCCUCCAGACAUAUUCCCGACCCCAACAGGCAACGAACAACUGUGGCCCAAGUACAUUGCUCAGAUUCAACGCCACCCGAAAACUACUGUUGGGCUGGGAACUUGCUGCUUCACGAUCCGGCGCUCCAGGGACACGACUGCCCGGAGACAGCCCCUGCAGAAUCUGGAACGCUAGAGGAAAAAAGUCUAGAGCCCUCAGGAUCCUCAAUUCGUCAGAACAAGCGCCUAAAAAGCCGAGACUCCGCCCCGGCGAAAAACGGCACAGACGGCCACAUACAUCUAGAGCUGGGGGAUUCCGGCGCCCCGAACAUUCCCGAGGAAACACCCGAGAGACCUGUUUUUAAUGACAUGUCAGAUGUUGACGACCAGCUAUUCUGUGAUGCAGCCAACCUUAUCGACCCAGUCAAUUCUACGGCCUCAGUACCUGCAGCCGAACAAGAAAGGCUGGAGUUCCGUGGUUGUCAUACGUGAAGAGCUUUGGCGGUCUGCGUUCACUGUUGCGGUCACUUUGAGCUGGUAACAGAGGAGCUGCAACUUCUUUGUCCACGGGUAAGUCCACUGUUUGUUCAACAGGUAAGUCCACUGUUUGUUCCACUUUGAUCUGAGUCUCUUCUGGCAGAGGCAUUGGGUUGUCCACAGAUGUGUCCUGUUCGGGUUCCACUACGUGUUCGGCUGGUUCUACAUCAGUACUUUCACUUCUUUCUGGGUACGUCCAAGACGGUAUUUCAUAUCUGUAGUAUUCAUCAUUGUCCUGUUUGAGUUCUUCCAUUUGUCCGUUCAUUUUGCUUGUUCAUCUUCACUUUGACUUGGAGUUUUGCUGUUUUUGAACUUUCAGAGGAAGGUUGUCAAACAGUAAGAGUAGGUUGUGAUGCAAGUCUCGUCAGACAUUCCUUUUCCUUGCUCUGGUUUCAGUUAGUAGAUUAGAAGGUCUUCUCCCACCUGGCAUACAAGUGUAUGAAUGUUGUCUUCUCAGUGAUUCUGAAGUUUGCCUGUACCUCCACGUGGUGUCAUGUUUCUGAUGAGGAAAUGAUCGCCUGGCUGCAACACUAAAGUUCUGACUUUGCUGUCGUAGUUUCUUUUGCCCGUCGGCUGACUUUUUAAACUUCUCCCUUGCGAUUCCGUAUGCUUCCUGCAUUCCUUAUUUCCAUUUAUUAGUGUACUUCUAAUGAUUGCGGUUUCCUGACCCCGAGUUCAAGUUGAAGAGAACGUUAAUGGGUGGUCUGUAUAUUCGUCAAUACAGGAGGUAAAAUGGAGAGAAUCCUGUCACCUCACAGCGAGUACAGUUGCAUACAUGCAGCAGAUUGAUCAGGGACUCUUUCCAGUUUGUUUUCCCUCUGUCUGUGAUUGUCUUGAGCAUCUAUAAUAAUGUUAUAUUAAUGCGUUCCAUUCCCCUGUGGAUGGUAGGGAGUUGUCCUUAACCCUACAACACUGUACUUUUGUAGGAACUGCAGUAGCUGGUUUUCGAAUUCUCCUACUUGAUUGUGAUAUAUUCUUGUAGGAAAUCCGAACUUCAAAGCGUAGUCAUUGAAGAUCCUGUCAGUCACUGUUUUGCCUGAUUUUAUAGGUUGUAGCAUAGGCCUGGGCAAAGCGUGUGAAAGUGUUGAUUAUCACUCAUAACCGCCCUUGUAUUUGUCUAAGUGGGGAAAGUCUAUUGAUACAAGUUCAAACGACUGAGUUGUCACUAUGUUGGUCAGUGGUGCUCUCAUUUCACAGCAAGGUUUUUUCUCUUUCAGGCAGCUUCUCAUGACACGAUGCUCUAUCUCUCUUUGCAUGUACGGCCACAAGAACCUGUCUCGUAUCAGCAAAGUUGUGCGAUCUACACCCUCCCACUCUGUCUGCCGAAUUCUGUCUCUUUGCUCUUGUUUUCCUUAACAGGAUGUCGGUGGGCGGAGCCGGGAGGGUCGUCAGAGAAAUGGGACACACCUGGGCUCAGGUGUGUCCUAGGAUAAAUACACCACUUCCCCAUUCACAGAGGAGACUCUCUCCAUGCAGACGCAGACAGAAUUUGAUUGUGGCAUUUUUGUGGCUAUUUGGUUUGUUUGCAUUGGCACCUUUCAACACCCCUCAUUAUCACAUGUAUAAACGCGACUACUGACUAAACACACAGCAUUGUUAAUUGUGUUUACUUUACUUCAGUUAAAUAAAUAUAUUUUGUUAUUCUUUA